rnacentral:rRNA from 1 species
ACGAACGCUGGCGGCGUGCUUAACACAUGCAAGUCGAACGGUAAGGCCCUUUCGGGGGUACACGAGUGGCGAACGGGUGAGUAACGCGUGGGUAAUCUGCCCUGCACUUCGGGAUAAGCCUGGGAAACCGGGUCUAAUACCGGAUAUGAGCUCCUGCCGCAUGGUGGGGGUUGGAAAGUUUUUCGGUGCAGGAUGAGUCCGCGGCCUAUCAGCUUGUUGGUGGGGUAAUGGCCUACCAAGGCGACGACGGGUAGCCG